UAAUCUCUCUUAUGGACAUCAAGUGCACAACUGUGGACACUAUAGUACUUUGUGAUUUUAAACAUAUUCAAACUUCAUAACUUCAUAGCACGAAGUCGCCACUUACAAGUAUCGUCAAUACACUUAACAAUAAGUAUAUUCUUCCCUGACUUUAAAGGUUUUAAACUCAAAAAUUUUCCUUAGAGCUUCCAUAGAAAGCACUUUUUGCAACUCUUCUUUCAAACUGAACAACUUUUUCCCCAUUAACCAAUCACUAUCACCAACAACUUUCAUAGAUGGCAAGUUAAUAGUAUUAGAAUGCAAGUUAUCAUUGUCGAAUGAACUGUUGCAUGCAAACAAAUUAACUCUAAGCAUAUAUCUAUUAUCGGGGGGGGGGGGGUGGGAAACUCAUAUUGGAAGGUGCUACAUUCCCUAUUGUUGGAUCAUUAAUUGUUAUCCCAUCAACAUUAUCAUGAACAAUAACAUUCACAUUUUCCUCAUUUGGCCCUCUUCUAUCAUUGGGCUGUGUUUCAGGAACAAAUUCGAAUAUUGACUUAUCUUCAGCAACAAUAUUGUUUGGGCUUAAACAUUCACCUUCAACAUAUGGCUCAACAGGUUCUUGUGGACAACUAUCCGGCCCGAAGUUAGGGUCCACAUGAGUAAUGGGGAUCACCAAAAUCUAUUUACUUUGGUAGGUAAUGCAAAGAGGAAUCUUUAACUCAGCUCCACUGAUUGUUUCCUCUAGAAAAUAAUCUACAUCAUCAUCAUUCAUAAUUAGGACGGGCGGUAUUGGAUUAAAUGUUUUGAGCUUGAACUUCAUUUCAAUGUCAAAUUCAGAAAUAUCAAUACAAAUAACCCGAGAAACUCUUUCUAUCAAUUGUGCAUACGUUGUAGAACGGGGCACCAUGAUCCCUCUUGCCUCCGUACCAUUAAAUCUAUAAUGGUCGUUUUGCUCAAUCCAUUCACCACAAAACAUAAUAGGCACACGUACUGAAUUCAUUUCCUGCAAUAAAUACAAAAACAAAAUCAAACAAGGUAUAUAACGAAGUGUGUGUCUGCCUAUUUAUACGACUGACGUCGUGUAAUUGCUAGUUUACACGACAAUAGUUGUGUAACUUGCUAAAAUACACAACUAUAGUCCUGUAAACAGCCAGAUAAUAUAUUUAGUAAAAAAAAUUGUAAUCUUUGUACUAAUAGAAUGCUAGGUGUCAUAAUAGCUACUAUAUCUUUCAAACUUGCACGAUUGCUGUCGUGUAAAUUUAUACAUACAUGAUAGAAGUCGUGUAAGUUGCAAAAAAACAUGACUUAGUAAAUAGUCAGAAGACAUAUUUUUUCUUAAAAAAAUAUUUUUCUUGCACUGAUAAAAUGUUGGGAUCUCAUAACAAUUGGAACAUUUUACAUAUAUACACAAUUAUAGUAUGUAAGUUCAAACAUACACAAUAGUAGUCGUGUAACUUAUUAAAACACACGACUAUAGUCCAGUAAUAGUAAAAUGAUAUAUAUAGUGAAAAAUAUAUAUUUUUCACUAUAUAAUGAUAAGGUGUCAUAAUAAUUGGAAUCUUUUGCACAUUUUCACAACUACAGUCCGGUAAAUCUAUACAUACAAGACUGUUGUCAUGUAUGUCGGGUGCAGAAAAAAAUUUUGGCAACAACUUCAGGUUUUAACGAAUGUAGUUAUAAAAUCAAUCAAAUAACAGUCAUAUGAUACAAAUGUAAUGAAAAUAUGAGUUGUUUUAUUGUUUAUCACAAACCAAACAAAACCCUAAAAAUAAUAUAAUGUCAAUAAAAUGAAUAAAUAACACAAAAUAAAAAAAAAAGUUUCAAAUACCUUAUUCAUGAGAUGAAUAAUGCACCCAGCUGCAAACUAAAAUCUCAGUGCAUUGGCUGUUCGUGAGUGAUUUUGAGUGUGUAGUGAGUUUUUGUUAUGUAGAGUUAAAAAGAGUGAGAAGUAAAGAAUGUUGGAGGUGUGUUGUGUGUGUUUUAUAUUUUUCUUCAAGGAUAUUUUAGACAAUAUAUUACAUAAAAAGAUAAAUCUAGAUAAUUUUUAAACAUGAAGUAUAUUUAACUAAAUACCAUAUUUUUAAGACAUCUUUAAUUAAAAACCCCCCAGUUUUGUCCCAAAAGCGAAGAAAAAUGAAACAAAACAUUUAAAUAUGGAAGAGAGGAAAAGAGAAAAAAUAAAAUCAUCAUCAAUUUAUAAAUAAACUAUAAAUAAAAAAAGCAAGUAGGGAGUCAAAUGAUAAAAGACAAAACAAUAGUAUCGUGCAACAGUACAUGCUUUCUAAAAAGAAUAAAAUAAUACAUAAUUAAAUAACUAAUCACAUCAAAUCAAUGUCGCUUGUCGUUGGCGGUCACAUUUUGAUUAUAUAUAUAUUUAAAAUGUCAAAAAAGUUAUUCGACUUUAACAGGUUAGUAAGUUCGGGAACGAAGCCUGAGCAUCAGAUCAUAGCAUGAUAUUAAAUAAAUGACACAAAUAAAAUGCAUUUAAGAAUUGUGUCAAUUUUGGCAACUAUAAACUGAUUUUUUUUUUGGGUUUCAAAAUCGCACUAGAUUCAUAAGCCUUGUCAAAAAUUACCCCUAAAUGCGUACAAAUUUUGUUAGCAUAUUGCUGUUCAUUAAUAAAAAGAAAAAGAAAAAUUAUCAGCGUCUGCAGUCCAUUCUAAAUUUAUUCUAUUAUU
rnacentral:lncRNA from 1 species